rnacentral:rRNA from 1 species
AGUGAACGCUGGCGGUAGGCCUAACACAUGCAAGUCGAACGGCAGCACAGUAAGAGCUUGCUCUUACGGGUGGCGAGUGGCGGACGGGUGAGGAAUACAUCGGAAUCUACUUUUUCGUGGGGGAUAACGUAGGGAAACUUACGCUAAUACCGCAUACGACCUACGGGGGAAAGCAGGGGAUCUUCGGACCUUGCGGGAUUGAAUGAGCCGAUGUCGGAUUAGCUAGUUGGCGGGGUAAAGGCCCACCAAGGCGACGAUCCGUAGCUGGUCUGAGAGGAUGAUCAGCCACACUAGAACUGAGACACGGUCCAGACUCCUACGGGAGGCAGCAGUGGGGAAUAUUGGACAAUGGGCGCAAGCCUGAUCCAGCCAUACCGCGUGGGUGAAGAAGGCCUUCGGGUUGUAAAGCCCUUUUGUUGGGAAAGAAAAGCAGCAGGUUAAUACCCCGCUGUUCUGACGGUACCCAAAGAAUAAGCACCGGCUAACUUCGUG